GUGUUUGCACCGUGAUUUACAGCUUGAGGGCAACUGAUCCUCCUGAGAAAGAAGCCCCCAUCUGGACAUUCUACACUGAGUGGCACGUGGGCUGUGUCUGGGACUGUAGAGAUGCAAAUAUCUAACACUCUCCCUGACUCUGCAAGAACAAUAUUUUCUAGGCAUGAUAAUUCAAGUGCUGCUUAUUUGAAACCAGUCUAUAGAAAACCUGAAGAAGAUUUAAUUAAGAUGUGGAAACUGAGCUCAGAGAAAAGAGGAACUUCAAAUCCACACAUUUCUUACUCCAAAUCUUGUGUUCUCAACUACCAUGAUAGUUCUUCCCAUCAGUUCAUCAUGAGCACUGGCUUCCUAUUAGAAGGAGUGAAAACUCAUGUGCAUAAGAAAAACGGUCAUAACUUUGGGCAAAAAUUACCUGAAACUGUAGACUUCAUAGAGGAAGACAGAAUAGAGGAUCAACACAGCAAACAGAGAGGAAGGUCUUGUAAUGACAGCUGA
rnacentral:lncRNA from 13 species